rnacentral:rRNA from 1 species
UACGUAGGGUGCGAGCGUUAAUCGGAAUUACUGGGCGUAAAGGGUGCGCAGGCGGUCCUGCAAGUCAGGCGUGAAAUCCCCGGGCUUAACCUGGGAAUGGCACUUGAAACUACGGGACUGGAGUAUGGCAGAGGGAGGUGGAAUUCCACGUGUAGCGGUGAAAUGCGUAGAGAUGUGGAGGAACACCGGUGGCGAAGGCAGCCUCCUGGGCCAAUACUGACGCUCAUGCACGAAAGCGUGGGGAGCAAACAGG